rnacentral:snoRNA from 1 species
GUGCAAAAAUCAUAGUAAACAGAAAAAUAAUACAAAAACAAGAGAGCCAACGCAUUUCUGAUGUGCUAAGUAAACCUUUGGAGGUAAAUCACAGUAACUAAUUUAGUCAUUGCUGGCAGUCAGCUUAGACAAGU